rnacentral:rRNA from 1 species
AUGAACCUGCAACAAGUCACUGAAGAUAGUUCCAUAAACACAUGCGCUCCAGCGAUAACCAUUGGUUUCGCGCAGUUCGCUACUGACCACUUGUAUAAUCAAGAGGAGAAGAUCACCACGACGUCAUGGACGGAGGCGGUGAGCCCCAUGUCGGAGACGGCCCGUCCGAACCCGACGAGCCGCUGCUCCCCCCGCCGCCCGAGCCCGAGGUCGAGCUCCAGGCCCAUGAAGCGCCGGUCGUCUCCUCCGUCGUCCUCCUCCAGGAACCUGGUCCCGCAGAAGACGGACACGACCAGGAAGCUGUGCGCCACGGCGGUGCGGAGCUUGCGGAUGUCGACGGGCUCCGGCCGCGCGGCGGCUUCCGGCGGGGAGAGGCGGAUGGCGCAGGAGUGCGCGCAGGCGAGCAUGAGCGCCUGGAGGUGGGCCGGGUCGACGAGGGCCGGGUCCAUGGAGAUGGAGAUCGGCGGGGGCCUGAGCCUGGGCCUGGCGACGCGCUUGUUGGGGCCGAAGGGGCUCGGUGUCGGCGAGGAGAAGACCGCAAGCGUGGUGAGACGGGGCGGAAGCCUGUUCACGCCGGCGGCCAUGGGGAGGGUGACGAGUGAGUGGUCGUGGUCUCGUGGAAGUGGAGCUCUGCGGGUGGGCGCCAAUGGAGGUUGGUGA